ACAGCAUUUAUUAAAACAUACAAAUACUGCAUAACACAUAAAUCAUAUUAAACUAUAAAUAUAAAUAACAAUCAUGACAACAUAAAUAACAGUGCAAAAUGUCAUACAGUACGAACUUACUCUAAUCAAGAUGUCCUUGCCAAUCUAACUCACACCCAUCCCUAAGGCUCUCCCCUCUCCCCUCAUCAUAACAAAUUUCUCUUCCCUUUUUGGGCUCACCACCAGUCGGCUUUUAGCUCAGUGGGGGCCCAUCCAUAAUGCACCCCACAAGCCGGCUUUUAGCUCGGUGGGGACACAUCCAACCUGGUACCCUUGCGGAUUACCAUAAGAGAAAGGGGAGGUUGAGACCCGGCCAUUAUCCACCUUAAUCUUCUACCUGCAACCAUCUCCCAACCUGUUUGGCAAGGACAUGCACCCCGCCUAGCUGUCACGACACCCAGGGCCUAAAUUAAAGGGAGGGUGGGUGGAAAACUGGUGCUGGCACAGAUCCUAAGUGGCACUGAGGUCAGCUUAACUUGACACCACCCCUUCCUCACAUACAACACUCCCACACAUACAUGACAUUCAAUCACAUCCAUUCCCACACUCAUACAUGUGCCCUUGUCUGCUAAGUUGCACACUCUCCCUUGGGCCUAGUCCACAGACCUAAUGAGCUGGGUCUGAAUUUAUAUCACACAUUAUGCAAAGGUUUACCAUUGAU